UUGUGGAGGAGGACGCCGAAGGUGGGGCUAAUGACUGGGGUGAAGUCGUAACAAGGUAGCCGUACCGGAAGGUGCGGCUGGAUCACCUCCUAACAGGGAGACAACAAAAUGUUAAAUAUUAAUUUUGUCACCUUAGGUCGAUCGGUAUCUCACAUUCUUAAUUUAUUAAGGAUUUUAUUUCCUAAGUUUUUUCUAGGUCACGCCCAUUACUUUCCCUGGGCCAUUAGCUCAGGUGGUUAGAGCGCACCCCUGAUAAGGGUGAGGUCCCUGGUUCAAGUCCAGGAUGGCCCAUAUCUCUAUGUUGGGGGUAUAGCUCAGUUGGUAGAGCGCCUGCUUUGCAAGCAGGAUGUCAGCGGUUCGAGUCCGCUUACCUCCACUGAUUACCACCUCUUCCAUAAUUUUAUAGAUGGGAAUUGUUUUGAGUUGUGAUUACAUUCUGAACGAAUCUAGCUUCCUAAUAAAAUCAUUAAGAUGCUGGACUCAUUGAAUUAAUUUCAUUGUUUUCAGAGAACCUUGACAACUGCAUAGUUUAUUUUUAAAGACAAUAAGCAUCUUUAAUGAUGCAGAUUUAUUAUUUGUGCGAAUGCAUUAAUAACAAUUCUAUUAAGCUGAUGCUUCAAUUUAUGAAGUUAUUGGUCAAGCUACAA
rnacentral:misc_RNA from 1 species